rnacentral:rRNA from 1 species
AGAGUUUGAUCCUGGCUCAGAACGAACGCUGGCGGUAUGCCUAACACAUGCAAGUCGAACGAGAAAGUGAUCUUCGGAUCGCGAGUAGAGUGGCGCACGGGUGAGUAACACGUGGAUAACCUGCCCUAGAGUCUGGGAUAACACUUCGAGAGGGGUGCUAAUACCGGAUAAGCCCACGAAUUCUUCGGAAUUAGUGGGAAAAGAUUUAUUGCUCUAGGAUGGGUCCGCGGUCCAUUAGCUAGUUGGUGGGGUAAUGGCCUACCAAGGCUGCGAUGGAUAGCUGGUCUGAGAGGAUGAUCAGCCACACUGGAACUGAGACACGGUCCAGACUCCUACGGGAGGCAGCAGUGGGGAAUUUUGCGCAAUGGACGAAAGUCUGACGCAGCAAUACCGCAUGAAGGAUGAAGGCCUUUGGGUCGUAAACUUCUGUCAGAGGGGAAGAAAUACUCGCAAGAGUGCUGACGGUACCCUCAAAGGAAGCACCGGCUAACUCCGUGCCAGCAGCCGCGGUAAUACGGAGGGUGCAAGCGUUGUUCGGAAUUAUUGGGCGUAAAGAGCAUGUAGGCGGUCUGUUAAGUCUGAUGUGAAAGCCCGGGGCUCAACCCCGGAAGUGCAUUGGAUACUGGCAGACUUGAGUAUGGGAGAGGGAAGUGGA